CUAAAACCUGAAAUGGGAACAGCAUAGACGUGAUCCCAGGCCCACCCUUAUCCCUCGCCCAGGGCCCUUCCCAGUUACCCAGCCCAAGUUGGGAGGCAGAAGAUCCAUGUCAUAGAUGGGCUGCGGCCUCAGGACCACCCAGCAGGCUGGAGCCCCUAUUUGGCAAGUGACCCCAGGAGCUGGGACCUGCAGGUGUGGGCAACUCAGGCCACCUUCCCAGGCGUGCUGAGCAAAUACCUAUUCAUGAUUCCUCACCUCUGCACAGUGCUUUACACUUUAUGUUUCUUCAUCCACAGAGUACCUGAUUUUCAUAACAACCCUGUGAGGCUCUCUGUCCCGCCGAUGGUGGACCACAGCCCCUGCACCAUUGGCCAUGGGGGAGCCAUCACCCCGCCAGGACCUCACCUCCUGCAGAAGGCACAGAAAGAGUUAGGAGCAUGAGCAGCCUAGGCUGGAAUCUGGGGACCUGUGCACCCGAGGCUGGAGUCGAGAGAGUGCAGGGUGGGAGGCAGCUGAGAGGUUAGGAGCAGCAGGGCCACCGGGUACAGUGGGAGGAGCCUGUUAGUGCCCUGAAGCACCUCCACCAGCAGCAGCAGCAGCACCGGCGGGCUCGGCCCACUACCUUCUCGUGCUCCUGCCAGCUCAGGCGCAGAGCCAGCUGCAGCUGCAGGUCCUCGUCCCUGUGGGAGGCUGGGGGGACAGGCUGCGGAGGAAGAGAGGGGUAAACUUGGCCCUGUACUCCCACCUUGGGACCGGAAGGGCAGUAUAGGCCUGCCUGGGUCAUGGGGAUGGAGAGAUAAAUGCCCACCCUCAGUGUGCAUGGGCCGUUUGCCCCUCAGUCAGCAGGGUGGGCGUGGCCUUCUCCCUGCCUGCAUCUGAAAUGCAGUUUGAAGAUCAGGAAGACGAUCUUUCGCUUCUGAAUCCUCUGAGAGUUCCUCAGGCCCUCCUGUGUUUGGCCCAGCUGCUUCCUGCCUGGUCUUCCUGGAUCCACAGAGGUAACGGCAAAGAUGACGGUAUCGGGGGCCCGUCCUUGUCUCCCCAAAAGGAUAGCUGGUGGGCGGGGGCGGGCAGCAUAUCCCAGUGUCUCCAGGAAUCUGUCUGAGCACACUCACCCACUCCACCAUGAGGUGGUAGCAGGCGCCCCAAGACACAGCAUGUGCCCCUAAUUGUACACUCGCCACCCUUUCCGGGCCCAGUGGAGAGGACUGGAGGCAGGGAGGCAGUCCCUGCCUGCGACAAACCAACAGAGAUAGUGGGUCUUGUGCUAUUCUUGGGCACAGGACUGGGGCUUUGGGUGACAGAGCCUGAGUCAAGGCCGAGGGGCUCCCAGGCACUCUCUAGCCCAUCCCCUCCCCACCACAGUGGGGCUACGUGGCCUCACCUUCUCUGCCUCCUCACGGCUCAUGGCUAGGGCCAGCUGCAGCUGCAAUUCCUCUUCUCCUGAUGUCUGAGGCCGGGCCUGCUCCAGGUCGGAGGUAUAGCGGGGUGACGAAGAGGAGGCUGCAAUGACCAUCAUGUCUCUGUGACCACAUGAUUACUCAUCGGCUCCCACACCCCUCUGCCUGCCAGGAAGCUGAGGCUCAAAGAAGAGAACUGAGAGGAGGGGAACAAUGGCCGUGGAGGCCCCCAUGGGCCAAGCACUGUGCCAGGCACUCUGUAAGUUCCCCGUCCCAGCCCACCCCGGUGGGACGGCUCCAGUUCCUCCUUAGCAGAUGCACAGGCAGCACUUAGGGCCCCUGACCAGGGUCCUGAAGCAGGACUUGAACCCAGGUGCCCUGACUCCAGCUCUUAGACUUCCAGAUGGACCCCGUCCUGCUUGGGGGCAAGGGAAGUGCAAGGAUAGGAGAUUCUAGUCCAAUGAGGUCACAGCCUCAAAGCCCUCAGCAAACUCUCAAGGGCUUUAUGGAAAGCGGGCCAUUCUGAGUAUUCCUCAGAUCCGGGAAGCCCCCACGACUGGGGGCAGGAGAGUCAGGGACUGUCUAGCAGCUGCCCUCAGGUAGAGGGAUGAAGGGGAAUGCCAUGUGUUUCGGUGCGGGGUAGAGGACAUUCCUGAACCUGGUCUCAUUUCAUUCUCAGAUCAAACAAUGAAGGUAGGUGAGCUUAUCCCCAUUGUACAGAUGAGGAAACUGAGGUUCAGAGAACUGGUUGCUUAGGUCACACAGCUUGGAGGAAGCAGAAUAUAGAAUGCUAUCUGACUCCAAACCCAUGCUUCCACCAUCACGCCAUCGUAUCAGGCAGCUAAGGAAUGAUAAUCAAUCUAUAACAACAUUAUCAUCUGAGCUAACGUGUUGAGCACCUGCUAUGUGCCGGGUGUUGUGCCUUGCAUGUUACAUUCCUUAUGUCUGAAUCCUCAUAACACCCCUCGGAGGUAGGUAUUAUGAACCAUGGCUUGGAUUGCGGAGCCAGGAAUGGAAGUCAGGCCACCUCCCCAUCCCAGCCACACGCUGGGGCUCACUCACAGUUGUAGGAGGACGGGGAGCCCCGGGAGCGGCUGUAGUCCUCGCCGUAGCGGCGGCUGAAGCCCAGCUGCCCACUGCCAAUGCCGAUGCCCUCCAGUGCCAUGCGCUCCUUGGUCUUGAGGGCGUGGGUUCGCUCCUGCCGCAGCCGCUCCUCGUCCUUGAGCAGGGCCAUCACCUGCUUGACCUUCUCGCGCACGUUGACGCCCUGGUCCUUGCCGUCGCGGUCGAUGUACUGGAAGUCCUUGAGUGUCUGGAUGGUGUAGAGGUUCUCGCGGCACUGGUGGGCCACCCGCUCGGAGCCCGUCUUGAGCAGGUAGUCCAGCAAUGUCAGAGCCUUGUACACGUGCCGCCAGUUCUUGCCGCUGUCAUUGAGCCGCCGCCACAGCAUGCCCAUGACCUCGGUGAAUGCCACUGUGUUGAAGGUCAGGUCAGCGAUCUCGGACAUGAGCGAACUAGAGGGGCCCCAGGGGUCAUUGCUGGUGGCCUCGCGCACCUUGAUUUCCGCCUCGGAGUAGUUGUGCACGAUGUUCUUCACCUGGCGCCGGAGUGCGGAGGUCGUCAUGGCUGGAGACUUGGAGGUGGGUGGCUCUCGCCCCCGCCGGAGGUGGAGGGCUGAGGGCCACUGUGGCGAGGUCACGAUCUCGAAGGAUGGGCUGCCGUGUUCUCAGCAGAGCAGCUGCGUCCUUGGGUUCCACAUGGGGCUGAGGAAGAGAGGGCCAGGAACUCAGGGGCAGAGGCCUACCUCAUAGGUCACUCAGCCAUUGACCAACUAAAUGAGGCCUGGCCAGAGUGUCCCUGCCUCCAGGGACAGCCUUCAGCGGCACACGUUCUUAUUUCACGUAUAAUUCAGCAGGCACUUGGAGCUUUGCAUGCUCAUCUAUCUAUCUUCACAGUCACACCGCAAAGAUGCUAUUAUCAUUGUCUCCCUUCACAGAUGGGAAAGGUGGGGCUCAGAGUAUUAAAUGGGCCCGGUGCAGUGGCUCACGCCUAUAAUUCCAGGACUUCAGGAGGCCAAGGCAAGAGGAUCACUUGAGGCCAGUAGUUGGAGGCUGCACUGAGCCAUGAUCACGCCACUGGGCAACAGAGCGAGACCCUGUAAUAUUAAGUGACUUGUCCGAGAUCACAGAGCUGCUACAUGGGGGACCGAGAUGACCCCAGGAAGCCCCACCUAAGAGUGCAUGGCCUCAUGGGGGAAUGCUAACAGGAUUCCAGGAAUGCCCGCUUGCCUUGCUUCUGCUCGGCCACUGCCUCUGUUUCUGCUGAGAUCUAGCUUAAGACCUAUCCUUCCUAGCUCCUCA